rnacentral:rRNA from 1 species
GACGAACGCGGGGGGCGUGCUUAACACAUGCAAGUCGAACGGAAAGGCCCUGCUUUUUUGGUGUGCUCGAGUGGCGAACGGGUGUGUAACACGUGAGUAUCCUUCCCUUGACUUUGGGAUAACUUCAGGAAACUGCGGCUAAUACCGGUUAGUAGCUCCUGCUGCAUGGUGUGCAGUGGAUAGUUUCGGCGGUUGGGUAUGUCCUCGCGGCUUAUCAGUUUGUUGGUGUGGUAGCGGUUUACCAUGGCCUUGACGGGUAGCCGGCCUGAGAGUGUGACCGGGGAGAUAGGUGCUGAGGCACGGCAGAGACUCACACGUGAGGCAGGAGUGGGGAACAUAGCAGAAUGGACGGAAGCCUGAUGCCGCAACGCUGCGUGAGAGAUGACGGCCUUCUGGUUGUAAACCGCUUUCGCCUGUGACGAAGCGUGAGUGACGGUAAUGGGUAAAGAAGCACCGGCUAAAUACGUG